rnacentral:pre_miRNA from 1 species
AAAAACCUGGAAAAUACUAUUGGAUCUAAAAAUAAACACAUGAGAUUUGUCCACGUCAUACAGAGUAAAAAUUUUACUCCCAAAUUCAACCAUGAGUAAAAAAUUUACUAGGAGUAAACUUUUUAAUCUGGAUGAUGUGGACAAAUAUCAAGUGUCCAUUUUAUAUCCAACAGUAGUAGUUUUCAGAUUUCC